UACGAAGGGGGCUAGCGUUGUUCGGAUUUACUGGGCGUAAAGCGCACGUAGGCGGCUUUGGUAAGUUAGAGGGUGAAAGCCCGGGGCUUAACCCCGGAAUUGGCACCUAAAACUACAUGGCUAGAGCAUUGGAGAGGGUAGCGGAAGUUCACGGGUGUAGCAGUGAAAUGCGUAGAUAUCGAGUGAGGAACACCAGGAGGCGAAGGCGGCUACCUGGACAAUUGCUGACGCUCGAGGCACGGAAAGCGUGGGGAGCAAAAGGG
rnacentral:rRNA from 1 species